UACACUUGUAGCACCUGGCUUCCUUCUUACUCCUUCUCUUUCGAGACUUUGACCAUUCCCUUGACUUGUCUCUUUCCCUUUCUCUUCCUAAUCUCUCCCCCAUGGCCAAGCCUUCCUGGAGAGUACCUUCCUUGGUCAAUUUCUCUCACUGUUCAUUGGACCGCAGCACCGAGACCAUGUCUUCAUACUCUAGGGUCUCCUUGCCGUAGAGCAGCGUCAUCACCAAUGGAUCAUAGGAAGGGGGCAG
rnacentral:lncRNA from 1 species